GGCAGCCGCGGUAAUUCCAGCUCCAAUAGCGUAUAUUAAAGUUGUUGCAGUUAAAAAGCUCGUAGUUGAACUUCAGGCCUGGCUGGGCGGUCCGCCUUCCGGGUGAGUACUGCCUGUGGUCGGGUCCUACCUUCUGGCGAAGCGUCAUGGCCUUAACCGGCCGUGGCGGGGAACCAGGACUUUUACUGUGAAAAAAUUAGAGUGUUCAAAGCAGGCACGCGCUUGAAUACAUUAGCAUGGAAUAAUGGAAUAGGACAGUGGUUCUAUUUGUUGGUUUCUAGGACCGUUGUAAUGAUUAAUAGGGAUAGUUGGGGGCAUUAGUAUUCAAUUGUCAGAGGUGAAAUUCUUGGAUUUAUUGAAGACUAACUACUGCGAAAGCAUUUGCCAAGGAUGUUUUCAUUAAUCAAGAACGAAAGUUAGGGGAUCGAAGACGAUCAGAUACCGUCGUAG
rnacentral:rRNA from 1 species